UACGUAGGGUGCGAGCGUUGUCCGGAAUUAUUGGGCGUAAAGGGUGUGUAGGCGGUUUGUUAAGUCUGAUGUGAAAGCCCCGGGCUUAACCUGGGAAUGGCAUUGGAAACUGGCGGGCUUGAGUGCGGCAGAGGGGGGUGGAAUUCCGCGUGUAGCAGUGAAAUGCGUAGAGAUGCGGAGGAACACCGAUGGCGAAGGCAGCCCCCUGGGUCGACACUGACGCUCAGGCACGAAAGCGUGGGGAGCAAACAGG
rnacentral:rRNA from 1 species